rnacentral:misc_RNA from 1 species
GCCAAGUGUAAGUAACUACCUUAAGAGUUUCUAACUGAAUGUAAGUUUCAAUUCAAUUCAUUGCCAAUGCUUGCCCAAUAUUCUCAUUAUCUGCAAUUCAUCCAUGAAUACAGAAACUGUCAAGAAAAUUUGAGUCCUAAGAUGAUAAUUCUUGAUGGAGGAUUUGUCUACAAAACUUCAGCACAUGGUUUAUUCAAUAUAUAGUUUAUGUUUAAUAGUU